CGAGUAAGCUAUGCGGUUGAACGCGUCACGCGUAUUGCGCGUCCGCGUUAGGAAAGUCCGGGCAUCACAGAGCAGGGCAGCUGCUAACGGCAGCCGAGGGCGACCUUAGGGAAAGUGCAACAGAGAUAUACCGCCGGUUUUUUCCGGCAAGGGUGGAAAGGCGAGGUAAGAGCUCACCGGAGCGCAGGAGACUGCGCUGCCAUGUAAACCCUGUCCGAUGCAACGUCAUUUUGGAACAAUGCGUUAUUGUCUGCUCGGCAGGCGCAUUGCAACGACGGCUCGAGCGUUUCGGCGACGAUUCGCCCAGAUAGAUUUCCGCACACGACAAAACCCGGCUUAUCGGCUUAGUCGCAGC
rnacentral:RNase_P_RNA from 1 species